rnacentral:misc_RNA from 1 species
GAUGAAGAACGUAGCGAAAUGCGAUAAGUAGUGUGAAUUGCAGAAUUCCGUGAAUCAUCGAAUCUUUGAACGCACAUUGCGCCCCUUGGUAUUCCAUGGGGCAUGCCUGUUCGAGCGUCAUCUACACCCUCAAGCUCUGCUUGGUGUUGGGCGUCUGUCCCGCCCCCGCGCGUGGACUCGCCCCAAAUCCAUUGGCAGCGUUCCUUGCCCCCUCUCGCGCAGCACAUUGCGCUUCUCGAGGGCGGCUCCGGGACGCGAUCCAGCAAGAUGACCACCGUCUUUGACCUCGGAUCAGGUAGGGAUACCCGCUGAACUUAAGCAUAUCAAUAAGCGGAGGA